UACGGAGGUGGCGAGCGUUGUCCGAAGUUACUGGGCGUAAAGCGCGCGUAGGCGGGCUCUUAAGUGAGAAGUGAAAGGCUGGGGCUCAACUCCAUGCAGUGCUUCUCAUACUGGGGGUCUUGAGGGCGGUAGAGAGAAGUGGAAUGGCUGGUGUAGCGGUGAAAUGCGUAGAUAUCAGGAGGAACACCGGUGGUGUAAACGGCUUUCUGGACCAUAACUGACGCUGAGGCACGAAAGCGUGGGUAGCAAACAGG
rnacentral:rRNA from 1 species